UCUGUGUGCAAAACUCAGGUCUUUGUACUUAUCUGGCCAUGUUCUUUUCCAAAUCCCUGACUUAAAUUCACACACCAGUUAUCGGUGGGUGAGGCACAUGCAAACAUAUGCAUGUAUUUACAUAUACCUGACUUUGAGAACUCAGUCCACUGAUGUAAGAGGGAAUGUAGCGAGGCGGUGUGGCUCCCCUCCUUCUCAGGGAGGGUUGAGCCCUGUCAAUCACCCCCCAGGGCGGAACCGCUGGGAGGAAAUCCUGCCCCUCAAAGGGUUAGGCGGCAACCUGGAAGGAUAAAAGCCGGGUCUCAGCCCUUAGUCAGGCCCCGGCCACCGGCAGGAGGAGACGUGCCUGCUGACCCUCCUCACCGGGAAGCCGCUGAGGCCCGAGGCUGGUGGGAGCUGCCCCACAGCCGCUAUGACGAGGAGCUGCCGGAGCUGCCCCGCAGUCGCUACGACGAGGAGCUGCCGGAGCUGCCCCGUCCCCACUACGGCCCCGAGGAGCUGCUAGACCAGACCUGGUCUGCCGUCCCGGAGGUAUUCCCGGACCUACCGUCCUGCCUGGACUGGGAGGAGCCCAUGGUACUGGACACCCCAGCGGACCAGGUCAACCCCGCCCAGAUCAUUGGCCACUCAUUGGAAGUAAUGUCCCAGUACUGAUGAUGUUACAGCAAUGGCAAAACCCUACUGGGUCUGCAAACUGUUUGGGGCAGGGACUAUCUUCUAAUAUAUGUGUGACACUGAGCCCGUGAAGGUUAAACAACCAGCAGGCUAAGUGACCCAAGAUCAACCUUUAAAAACAUAUUUGAGAAAUAUUGACAUGGUAAGCAGCGCCACUUCAUGUAGAUAAUUAUCAAAGUCGUGUAAGUGAAGUAAAUCCUUUGAAAUGCAAAACUAUAUUGUCAGAGAAUUAGAAGUAAAUAUUAUUGCAUUUGUCUGUGUUUACCUAUAUCUGUUAGGAGUUUAACAAUGUGAUCUAAUUAGCAUGUAGAUGCUAUACUCAGUUCCUGUCUGUCAUAUUACAUUGCUGUGUUCUAUUGAUUCAGAAAUCAAAAGCGAGUAUUAGCAAUUAGAUGAAACUUCAGUGUAAUGGUAUCAUGUCUUUAUUUCUCUUUGAAGUUUGUAGUAAACUACCUGUGAACCUUUGAAUGGUAAAUUGCUUUAUGCUAAUCAAUGCAACUAAUUACCUGGGUAUACAUAGGAAAUAGGAAUUGACUUCAAAGCAACCAUAUAUAUUACCUAUUCUUCACCCAAGGAAUGCUGGCUGUGCCAUUUGCUAGCAAGAGGCUAUCAUAACCUGCCAGAGAGCUAUAAAAGAACUUUGAGACCUGAUCCAUUUUUUUUCGUCUCAGAUCUGCAGAAGCUUGGUCAGGGGAAGUUUAAGUUGCAAGACUGAGGUUUCCAGCUCCAGUCUGGAUUACCCUGCUACUUCUCAUGGAAGAAUUUAAACAGAUUCUGCACAUGGAUUAUAAUUUAUGGAUUCUGGAAGAACUUUCUACAAAUCAGCAGCUCACUGUUUCUACUAUGAAACUAACCUAAGAACUUUACUCACAUCUGUAUGUAUAAUGAUCUUUAA